AAAAGUCAGAAUUUUUCAGUACUUUUGCAAUUAUGGCUUAGAACGGGACAGUUUUAGAGGGGUCUGGUACAACUGUCAUGUUGAAAAGCACGCCCAUAUACCUGCCACAUCUAUAUGCCCACUUCUAUAUGGUAGACUUUGCUUUAGCAGGUAUAGCUGAAUAUGGAACUGUUAAACUGGUCCCCGGAACAUCUGUACUGUUAAAAGGAUCAACCAUAUACCUGCCACAUCUAUAUCUCCACUUUUAUAUGAUAGGCUUUACUUUAGCAUUACGUACUUAAAAUGGAACAGUUAUACUGAUCUCCAGAACAUCUGAAGUGUUAAAUGGAACACCCAUAUAACUGCCAUAUCUAUAUGUCCACUUCUAUAUAGUAGGCUUUGCUUGUGCAGCUAUAGCUUAAAAUGGAACAGUUAUACAGCUCUCCGGAACAUCUGUAGGGCUAA
rnacentral:lncRNA from 1 species